rnacentral:rRNA from 1 species
AACGAACGCUGGCGGCAGGCCUAACACAUGCAAGUCGAGCGCACCUUCGGGUGAGCGGCGGACGGGUUAGUAACGCGUGGGAACGUGCCCUUCUCUACGGAAUAGCCUCUGGAAACGGAGAGUAAUACCGUAUACGCCCUUUGGGGGAAAGAUUUAUCGGAGAAGGAUCGGCCCGCGUUAGAUUAGGUAGUUGGUGGGGUAACGGCCUACCAAGCCUACGAUCUAUAGCUGGUUUUAGAGGAUGAUCAGCAACACUGGGACUGAGACACGGCCCAGACUCCUACGGGGGGCAGCAGUGGGGAAUCUUAGACAAUGGGGGCAGCCCUGAUCUAGCCAUGCCGCGUGAGUGAUGAAGGCCUUAGGGUCGUAAAGCUCUUUCGCCUGUGAUGAUAAUGACAGUAGCAGGUAAAGAAACCCCGGCUAACUCCGUG